GUCAUCGUAGCUUAAACAACCAAAGCAUAACACUGAAAAUGUUACCAUGGACAGACUUGUCCCGCAUGACA